CCUACGGGAGUCAGCAGUGAGGAAUAUUGGUCAAUGGACGAGAGUCUGAACCAGCCAAGUAGCGUGAAGGAUGACUGCCCUAUGGGUUGUAAACUUCUUUUAUAUGGGAAUAAAAUGUUCCACGUGUGGGAUUUUGUAUGUACCAUAUGAAUAAGGAUCGGCUAACUCUGUGCCAGCAGCCGCGGUAAUACGGAGGAUCCGAGCGUUAUCCGGAUUUAUUGGGUUUAAAGGGAGCGUAGGUGGAUUGUUAAGUCAGUUGUGAAAGUUUGCGGCUCAACCGUAAAAUUGCAGUUGAAACUGGCAGUCUUGAGUACAGUAGAGGUGGGCGGAAUUCGUGGUGUAGCGGUGAAAUGCUUAGAUAUCACGAAGAACUCUGAUUGCGAAGGCAGUUCACUGGACUGCAACUGACACUGAGGCUCGAAAGUGUGGGUAUCAAACAGGAUUAGAUACCCUAGUAGUC
rnacentral:rRNA from 1 species